rnacentral:rRNA from 1 species
AAGGAAUAUUGGACAAUGGAGGCAACUCUGAUCCAGCCAUGCCGCGUGAAGGAAUAAGGCCCUAUGGGUUGUAAACUUCUUUUAGACGGGACAAAACCCCUUUACGUGUAAAGGGUUGAUGGUACUGUCAGAAUAAGCAUCGGCUAACUUCGUGCCAGCAGCCGCGGUAAUACGAAGGAUGCAAGCGUUAUCCGGAAUUAUUGGGUUUAAAGGGUGCGUAGGCGGACUAAUAAGUCAGUGGUGAAAGCCUGCAGCUUAACUGCAGAAUUGCCAUGGAUACUGUUAGUCUUGAGUACAGUUGAGGUAGGCGGAAUGUGUCAUGUAGCGGUGAAAUGCUUAGAUAUGACACAGAACACCGAUUGCGAAGGCAGCUUGCUAAGCUGUAACUGACGCUGAGGCACGAAAGCGUG